AAUGAACGCUGGCGGCGUGGAUUAGGCAUGCAAGUCGAACGCGAAAGUUCCCUUCGGGGAGCGAGUAGAGUGGCGAAAGGGUGAGUAAUGCUUGGAUGACCUGCCCUCGAGACGGGGACAACAGUUCGAAAGGACUGCUAAUACCCGAUAGUCCGGUUUAGAUGCGUCUAGAUCGGUAAGUGGUGCUUCCGCUCGAGGAGGGGUUCAAGUCCUAUCAGCUUGUUGGUGAGGUAACGGCUCACCAAGGCGAUGACGGGUAGCCGGACUGAGAGGUUGGCCGGCCACAUGGGAACUGAGACACUGUCCUGACUCCUACGGGAGGCUGCAGUCGAGAAUCUUCUGCAAUGGGCGGAAAGCCUGACAGAGCGACGCCGCGUGGAGGAGUGAAGGCCC
rnacentral:rRNA from 1 species